AGUGAACGCUGGCGGCGUGCUUAACACAUGCAAGUCGAACGAGAACGGAUUAUAGCUUGCUAUAAUUGUCAGCUAAGUGGCGCACGGGUGAGUAAUGUAUAGGUAAUAUGCCUCUUACUAAGGGAUAACAAAUGGAAACGUUUGCUAAUACCUUAUACUCCUUAUUAACAGAAGUUAAUAAGGGAAAGAUUUAUUGGUAAGAGAUUAGCCUGUAUUGUAUCAGUUAGUUGGUGGGGUAAUGGCUUACCAAGACUAUGACACAUAACUGGUUUGAGAGGAUGAUCAGUCACACUGGAACUGAGACACGGUCCAGACUCCUACGGGAGGCAGCAGUGGGGAAUAUUGCACAGUGGACGAAAGUCUGAUGCAGCAACGCCGCGUGGAGGAUGACACAUUUCGGUGCGUAAACUCCUUUUACAUGAGAAGAUAAUGACGGUAUUAUAUGAAUAAGCACCGGCUAACUCCGUGCCAGCCGCCGCAGUAA
rnacentral:rRNA from 1 species